UACGUAGGGACCAAGCGUUGUUCGGAUUUACUGGGCGUAAAGGGCGCGUAGGCGGCAAUUCAAGUCAUCUGUGAAAUCUCCGGGCUUAACUCGGAACAGUCAGAUGAUACUGCUUUGCUAGAGUGCGGAAGGGGCAAUCGGAAUUCUUGGUGUAGCGGUGAAAUGCGUAGAUAUCAAGAGGAACACCUGAGGUGAAGACGGGUUGCUGGGCCGACACUGACGCUGAGUGCGCGAAAGCCAGGGGAGCAAACGGG
rnacentral:rRNA from 1 species